CCUACGGGAGGCAGCAGUGGGGAAUAUUGGUCAAUGGACGCAACUCUGACCCAGCAACGCCGCGUGAAUGAUGAAGGUCUUCGGAUUGUAAAGUUCUUUUCUAAGGGAAGAAGAAAGUGACGGUACCUUAGGAAUAAGCCUCUGCUAACUACGUGGCAGCAGCCGCGGUAAUACGUAGGAGGCAAGCGUUAUGCGGAGUGACGGGGCUUAAAGGGUGCGUAGGUGGUUUGUCAAGUUAGUAGGGAAACUCCGGGGCUCAACUUCGGAACUACUACUAAUACUGUUAGACUUGAGUGCAGUAGGGGUAAUCGGAAUUCCUAGUGUAGCGGUGGAAUGCGUAGAUAUUAGGAGGAACACCAGUGGCGAAGGCAGAUUGCUAGACUGUAACUGACACUGAGGCACGAAAGCGUGGGGAGCAAACAGGAUUAGAUACCCUUGUAGUC
rnacentral:rRNA from 1 species